rnacentral:lncRNA from 1 species
UUAGUGGCUUGAAGAGAGAGAAUCUUGAGAAAUCUAAAGGAGAGAACUUUAGGGUUAAGUGUCUUUAGGUAAGGUUCAUGGGUUAGGAAACACUUCACAAAAAUAUUGGGUUAUGAAAUCUCAUUAGAGAAAGGAUCAAAAUUUCUCCUAAGAGAUUCAUUGUGAGUUUGAGUGACUUGGAAAAUGGGUAAGGGUUUGUUCUUUGUGAACUUAGAAAUUGAUUUCUUGCAACCUCUGUGUAUCACUCUUAUCAUAGUGGAUUAGAGAUCUACUCUCCCCCGGAUGUAAGAUAAAU